GAUGAACGCUGGCGGCGUGCCUAAUACAUGCAAGUCGAGCGAACAGACGAGGAGCUUGCUCCUCUGACGUUAGCGGCGGACGGGUGAGUAACACGUGGAUAACCUACCUAUAAGACUGGGAUAACUUCGGGAAACCGGAGCUAAUACCGGAUAAUAUAUUGAACCGCAUAGUUCAAUAGUGAAAGACGGUUUUGCUGUCACUUAUAGAUGGAUCCGCGCCGCAUUAGCUAGUUGGUAAGGUAACGGCUUACCAAGGCAACGAUGCGUAGCCGACCUGAGAGGGUGAUCGGCCACACUGGAACUGAGACACGGUCCAGACUCCUACGGGAGGCAGCAGUAGGGAAUCUUCCGCAAUGGGCGAAAGCCUGACGGAGCAACGCCGCGUGAGUGAUGUAGGUCUUCGGAUCGUAAAACUCUGUUAUUAGGGAAGAACAAAUGUGUAAGUAACUAUGCACGUCUUGACGGUACCUAAUCAGAAAGCCACGGCUAACUACGUG
rnacentral:rRNA from 1 species